UCCCUGAUGGUCUAGUGGCUAGGAUUUGGCGCUCUCACCGCCGCGGCCCGGGUUCGAUUUCCCGGUCAGGGAA
rfam:Larimichthys crocea isolate SSNF unplaced genomic scaffold scaffold4869, whole genome shotgun sequence.